rnacentral:lncRNA from 1 species
GCUUUUGUUCCGGUUCAUGUUAUUAUACGCGUAGUCUUAAAGAUAUAUUGAAAUUCAGACAUACCUCCGUUUCCUUAAAAUAUGAUUCUGAAUUAUGUUCUGCAAUGUUAUUUCAGCUCUCACCAAGAAUGGGAUCGAUUCAAGAAAACUGAUUCAGUGUAUGUCGGUGAAGAUUAACGUAAAUAGGCAAAGUAUCGUCAUUUAAGACACAAACGUUCCCCGAACAAAAUGUCCGUCGCAGACCACAAUGUAAAGGUAUGCUUUACCUUUGUUCCGUACACGAGUUUCUUUAAUGGAGUGUACAGUUCUCAGUAAGUUUGAAAUGUGCAAACUUUAUGUUUUAUUUCUAAAAAAAAACC